UAAGUACUCCCUCCGUUCGGAAUUACUUGUCUCGAAAAUGGAUGUAUCUAGAACUAAAAUACAUCCAGAUACAUCCAUUUCUGUGACAAGUAAUUCCGAACGGAAGGAGUAUUAU
rnacentral:pre_miRNA from 1 species